rnacentral:rRNA from 1 species
AUUGAACGCUGGCGGAAUGCUUUACACAUGCAAGUCGAACGGCAGCACGGGGGCAGCCCUGGUUGCGAGGGGCGAACGGGUGAGUAAUACAUCGGAACGUGCCCGGUCGUGGGGGAUAACGUAGCGAAAGUUACGCUAAUACCGCAAACGAUCUGAGGAUGAAAGCGGGGGACCUUCGGGCCUCGCGCGCUCGGAGCGGCCGAUGUCCGAUUAGCGAGUUGGCGGGGUAAAGGCCUACCAAGCCGACGAUCCGUAGCUGGUCUGAGAGGACGACCAGCCACACUGGAACUGAGACACGGCCCAGACUCCUACGGGAGGCAGCAGUGGGGAAUAUUGGACAAUGGGCGCAAGCCUGAUCCAGCCAUACCGCGUGCAGGACGAAGGCCUUCGGGUUGUAAACUGCUUUUGUACGGAACGAAAAGGCGCUGGCUAAUACCUGGGGCUCAUGACGGUACCGAAAGAAUAAGCACCGGCUAACUACGUG